ensembl:lncRNA
GAAGCGGCCUCUUAGACUGCAGCGCUGGAGGGCCUGGCAGUCGGAGGCGGAGACCACUGCUGUGCCUCCAUAGCGUGACUGGGCAGCACACAGCUGUUAGGAGGUGUGGAAAGGCCUCCCAGCUGUGGAAACAGAUGAAAAGAAGCCCUCGCACACAAACAAACAGAAAGCGUGAGGCCCGGGCGGAGCCAUGCGCAGUGCGGCGGGCUUGGAAAGACAAGGGGUCAAUGGACGGGAAAUGCUUUCAUCGCGCCUGACUCUUUGACUCCAGUCCGCCAUUGUGUUUACGGGCCAAGUUCACGCCUCCUGAUGGGGUUUCCAGAUCUCCAUUGAGCGUUGCUCCAAUUUGAGAGACAUCUUUAUUUGCUUUUUUU